rnacentral:rRNA from 1 species
UACGGGGGGGGCAAGCGUUGUUCGGAAUUACUGGGCGUAAAGGGCUCGUAGGCGGCCAACUAAGUCAGACGUGAAAUCCCUCGGCUUAACCGGGGAACUGCCUCUGAUACUGGAUGGCUUGAGAUUGGGAGAGGGAUGCGGAAUUCCAGGUGUAGCGGUGAAAUGCGUAGAUAUCUGGAGGAACACCGGUGGCGAAGGCGGCAUCCUGGACCAACACUGACGCUGAGGAGCGAAAGCCAGGGGAGCAAACGGG